CCUACGGGGGGCUGCAGUCGAGAAUCAUUCACAAUGGGGGAAACCCUGAUGCAGCGACGCCGCGUGAGUGAAGAAGUAUUUCGGUAUGUAAAGCUCUAUCAGCAGGGAAGAAAAUGACCGUACCUGACCAAGAAGGCCCGGCUAACUACGGGCCAGCAGCCGCGGUAAUACGUAGGGGGCAAGCGUUAUCCGGAUUUACUGGGUGUAAAGGGAGCGUAGACGGGUAUGUAAGUCUGGAGUGAAAGCCCGGGGCCCAACCCCGGGACUGCUUUGGAAACUGUGUAACUGGAGUACUGGAGAGGCAGACGGAAUUCCUAGUGUAGCGGUGAAAUGCGUAGAUAUUAGGAGGAACACCAGUGGCGAAGGCGGUCUGCUGGACAGCAACUGACGCUGAGGCGCGAAAGCGUGGGGAGCAAACAGGAUUAGAUACCCGGGUAGUC
rnacentral:rRNA from 1 species